GUGAAAUCCCCGGGGGCAACCUGGGAACUGCAUCUGAUACUGUUGAGCUAGAGUAUGUGAGAGGAAGGUAGAAUUCCAGGUGUAGCGGUGAAAUGCGUAGAGAUCUGGAGGAAUACCGAUGGCGAAGGCAGCCUUCUGGCAUAAUACUGACACUGAGGCUCGAAAGCGUGGGUAGCAAACAGGAUUAGAUACCCUGGUAGUCCACGCCGUAAACGAUGUCUACUAGUCGUUGGGUCCCUUGAGGACUUAGUGACGCAGCUAACGCAAUAAGUAGACCGCCUGGGGAGUACGGCCGCAAGGUUAAAACUCAAAUGAAUUGACGGGGGCCCGCACAAGCGGUGGAGCAUGUGGUUUAAUUCGAUGCAACGCGAAGAACCUUACCUGGUCUUGACAUAUCUAGAAUCCUGCAGAGAUGCGGGAGUGCCUUCGGGAAUUAGAAUACAGGUGCUGCAUGGCUGUCGUCAGCUCGUGUCGUGAGAUGUUGGGUUAAGUCCCGCAACGAGCGCAACCCUUGUCCUUAGUUACCAGCGGGUUAAGCCGGGAACUCUAAGGAUACUGCCAGUGACAAACUGGAGGAAGGCGGGGACGACGUCAAGUCAUCAUGGCCCUUACGACCAGGGCUACACACGUGCUACAAUGGUAGGUACAGAGGGCAGCUACACAGCGAUGUGAUGCGAAUCUCAAAAAGCCUAUCGUAGUCCAGACUUGGAGUCUGCAACUCGACUCCAUGAAGUA
rnacentral:rRNA from 1 species